GCAGCAUCCAUUAUGCAAUAUGGAUAUGUACCUCAUGGGAAACUAUGUCAUCCAUAAGCCUGCAAAUGACGUUUGAAGCUCUAAUCAUCUUAGGGUCACUGAAAACCCAAUCGAAGGCCUCCUUGGUUACUAUAUCUCCCAUACCGACGAAAGAUGUGGUUGUAAGCAUAGAGCAGGCAGAGCUUACCAGCGCGUUGCUCAUGUACUCCUCCAUUCUUGGUAUAUAUUCUUGCUUCAACCAUUUGGCUUCAAGAAGGUAGGCUUGGACUUGCCUUUUUAACUGAGUUACAUUGUUGAGAUAUUAUGAUAUAUUCUAGGAAAGUAGUUGUUAUUGUUUAGGAUUGUUUCCUAAACUCACGACAUUGUUUAGGAUUGUUUCCUAAACUCACGGUUUUCCCUUAAUUAGGUUUGCUUGAUGUACUAUAUAUUUACGUGGAUGAAUAUCAAUAAGGGUUAAGCUUUGACCCUUUAAUCACACUUUACAUGGUAUCAGAGCACUGACAUGCACACACAAUAAAACAAUGGCCGGCGACGAUGAACAACCACCAUUGCCGCCACCUAAAAGGGAGAUGAAUUCACCUUUUUUUCUCGGCACAGGAGACCGACCAGGCGACUUCAUCACUCCCACUCGCUUACGCGGCGACAAUUACGAUGAUUGGGCUUCUAAUAAUGAAGAUCACAAUAGUUGUUAUGGACCACCAAAAGAAUUCUAAAAAGAAAAAACCCAUGUAAAUAGGGGAAAAUCCUAAAAUAUCGGUAAAAAAUAAAGGAAAAAUUCACAAAAAUGGGGAAAAUCGUAAUUUUGGACAUGUGAGUUUGGAAUUUUGUACUUGGGCUUUUUGACAAACUACCACUUUUUCCUUAUUUAUUUAUUUUGUUAUACAAUACAUUACAAAAAAAAUACUAUCAAAAUUAAGAUAGGCCUUUUUUUUUGCUUUUAAAAAUUAGAAAAUAAUUGUAAAUUUUACAAAAGGUACAAAGAUUUGAAACUUAGGAAGUUCAGUCUUAUUACAAUUCAUAGUAACACAACCCUUUUCAGAAAAACUGAGCCACCAAAAUUCAAGUGGGGCUAUGCAAUAUUUUUUCCUUUGUAAAGAACAGUUCUAUAAAUAACAAAACACAAACGGUCAUUGAUCACACAAUUAACAGAUAGAAAUUUAUUGUAUCUUAAAAAAUAAUGAAUUAUCAAGCAAUAACGCCUGUUUGGAAAUGUUUUCACAAAAAAAAAAAAAUAGAAUAGUUUUAUCUAUAAAAUCAUAGUCAUUAACUCGAGUUUAAACUUAAAUUUAAAAUCAUAAUUGGUAACUGCACUUUUAAUUAUUUUUAGAAAAAAAAAACAUUAAAAUUAUAGUCAUCGACAAUUUUGUAACUUGGAUUGCAUGAGCACUGGUUUGAGAAUUAUGAGGAGUUAAUUUAUGGAAUUUUUUUAAAAUAAAUUAUUUUUAUUAAAAACUCAAUUAAUUUGGGGUAUUAAGACUAACAGAGGGUGCAGUCUACCACAAGCAGACUGGAUAUGAAAAAGAGGUUAAGACUCAUGAAAAAUAAUAUCUCUCAUCUAUUAUCACACAAUUUUUGUCAUUAAUUAUCUUUCUUCUUUUUACCGUUCAUUAACUAAUUUCUAACCAUCAAUUCAUUUCUUAUGAUGUUCAUCAUGUUUGAAUGACAUGUAACUAUUUAUGAUAUAGUAAACUUUCACUCAUAUUAAAAUUAAAGUUAAAAGUAAUUAAAAAAUCAAUUGAUAUAAUAAAUAAUAAAUUAAAAUUAAAAGUAAAUAAUUGAAAUAUUGGAGGAAAUUAAAAAUAAAAAUUUUAAAAAUUUUGAAUUUUAAAUUUAUCCAUAUGGAAAUUGAGGGAGAAAGAUAAUUUGUAUAAUAUAAUUUUUAUUAGCAAACUCAUUUUAAAAUUUUGUGUUUGAUAAGAAUGUAAUAAAAAUAUAUUUAUUCUAAUAAUGAAGAUCACAAUAGUCCAAGUUGUUAUGCACCACCAAAAGAAUUCUAAAAAGGAAAAAUUCACCAACGGGAAAAUCGUAAUUUUGGAAUUUGGAUAGGUGUAUACUAGUCUCUUUCUUUCCUUUCCCUGGUAUGGAAGGUAUAGGUCUAUAUAUACUUGGAAGAACCAGUCAAAUUCGGCAAAAUCCAUAUUAUAAUUUUCUUUGAUUUCUUAGAGAAACUGAGUUCCCCCAAUGCCCGGCAUACAGAGGAAGAUGAAGAGGGCAAGACGAAGACGUACAGGAGACGAGGUAAAGGGAUUUAAUUUCAAUUAUUAGAGUGUAAUGUAGAUGAUUAACUCUUUUCUGACGUCCAUUCUCAAUUCUGGCUACGUAGUACAUAUCCGAUGACGGUGAUUUUGGGGAGGACCUGCUUAGCGAGUUGCCGGAUGAAAUUCUUAUUUCAAUACUAUCUCGCCUAACCCUAAGGGAAGCUGCGGCUACCAGUGUUCUCUCACAGCGNNNNNNNNNNNNNNNNNNNNNNNNNNNNNNNNNNNNNNNNNNNNNNNNNNNNNNNNNNNNNNNNNNNNNNNNNNNNNNNNNNNNNNNNNNNNNNNNNNNNAAAAUGUAUAUUCUUAGCUAUAGUCCUUGCUUGUGUAAAUGAUUUUGACUCCCUGGCAUUUUAUUUUACAGUUAAAAUGGCGAACUCAAAUCAUACCAGUCGCAAAAAGAUAUGCCAAGGCAUUGAUCCAAUAUUCCCAUCAAUACCUGAAACUGGUGAAAAUUGUUGGUUUUAAUGAUUGUAGCAGUGCUUGUGAGCUAGUCAUGCAGAUUAUUGAAAAUGCUAUUGCACUCGAGAAAAUUAUCAUUGAUACAAGCCAAGGACAUAGGAGGAGGGGACCAUGGUUGAAGAGACAACUAGCUGCAAGAACAAGAGCUGAGCAAUUGAAAUCACAUGUACCUCCGAGCCUGGAAUUUAUAGUACUUUAAAUCUUAAGCAGGUGUAUGGUUUUGGAAUUCAAUUUUUUUUAGUAUCUACUUCUGAUGUUUGGUAUUAAUAUUAAGAAUUUAUGGUCUCAAUUAAUGCUUAUUUGGUUUGCUUAAUUGUGAAUGAGAGUGCUGCACAAACUUAAAAAUUCUCCUAAUGCAUUUUGGGGAUCGAGGGAUUCACGACUUCCAUACUCCCAAAACCCUCUUGCGUUAAUAAGCCAGUUGCAUAUUCCCUAGAUAUCGUCAUUGUGUCUUCUUUCAAUUGCAAUAUGAAGACCAUGUCUUAUCUUAUAGGUAAAAGUACAUUUUGAUACUAGCACAUGCACUUGAGAGGAGUAGGAAAGAGUUCAUCUAGAAGAUUAAAAAAUGUUGAAGAUUUAAAGAUUAAGGUGGUGUUUGUUUUUUUGGUUUUUUGCUGAAAGCAAUUUGUUUUCAGAAUUUAGGAUGUUUGUUUUUAUACUUUUUUAUGACUUAUUAUAGACUUUUUAUUAAAUAGAAAAAACCAAAAUAUGUAAUUUUUUCUAAAUAGAAAAAAUAACAUAUUGAUUUUUCUUUACUUUUUAAUAUUUAAUAAAAAUAAAAUACUACAAAAACAAACAAUCUAAUAUUUAACACUAUUAAGCAUUUAUGUUCUAUUUAAAAUUAAGUAAAAAAACAAACACCAUCUAAGAAUUAAUAGUUGAAGAAUUCAUAAAUUGAGUUUUGAGGCCCUUUAAAAUCAAGUUUGAAAAAUCCAAAACCAAGCAUUCACACCCUUUGAUUAUCAUUGUUCAAUUCAAGUGAAGCCGAUUCAAAGGCUAGAUCAUGCUGAAGGCCAAGUCAUAAUAAGACCCAAAUCAAGUUAAAACCCAAGUCAAUGUGACCAAAAGCCAUGUGAAGGUCAAGAGUAGUCAAAUUUCAAGUAACACCAAAGGCCAAACUAAGUCAAAUCCCAACUCAAGCCAAUACAAAUCAAGUAAAAAUUUAAAGUCAAACCAGUGUUUAAGUCAAGUCCAUGCCCAAGCCAUGUCAAGACCUAAGUCAAUGCAUGUCCAGUGCAAAGGUAUACCUCUUCAAUAAUGCCUGGGUUUGUAAUGAUUCUUCCAUACACCACUUUGAUUGUUGUUCAAAAUUGUUUGUCAAUGGUGGAUUAAUCUGCUUAACAGUUGCUCAAUGACAAACAAAUCCACAAAAAAUGAACUUCACCGUAACUACUGAUCAUCAUUUUAAGCAGAAUCUACCAAACGGACCAAACCUCAUCUUUCUUCCUCUUCUAUUCUUCCUUCUUUACAUAUUUUCUUUUAUCAAAGUUCGAAUACUGCUAAAAUUUCGGCCAUUUCCUCAGUCAGAAUUUACAACCUUUGUUUUGGACGGGGGGUUUAGGUUGAGCUUAACUGCAUGCACAUGAAAGUAAGUUUUAGGAACAUGCUAUGUACCGUAAGGUACCUAUCAAGUCCAAAUCUAGACCAUUGGAUAUGUAUAGUGAGAUUUAGGCAUUGAACAAGGGUACAAGAAAAUGAGACCAAUGUAUAAGGGUAUAAACAAAUGAGAUUAUGAUAUAAACAAUAAAACUUAAAAAAAUUGUACAUACACUACUUGAUUGAUGGUGUGUUUUUAAUACGUAUUGAAAAAAAUAUCAUUAGCUAGGUAUCAUAAAUGAACCUUAAGUUUUAAUAUUCACUUCUUCCUUAUAUUCUUCAACAGUAGGACACGCCUUUUCAUUAAAGUUCAUUUUCAAAAGUAGUUUUCCUAACAUUUUUCAAACACUUCUUUCAUAUCCUCAUUUUUUUUUUUUAAGAACAAAACUCCAUUUUUUGAACUUGGAAUGUUGUCAAAAUGUUUUUUAUAUUUUCAAAUAUUUUUAAAAAAUAACUUAUACAUAUAAUGCUUUAUUUUUAAUCAUUUUUUAUAUUUAUACAAUUAUUUUUUUUUAAAAAAAACCUCAAAGAACAAGUAAAAACAAUUAAAUUAUGUCAUCUGCAAGGCAACUUGUUUUUAAAACAAUUUUCAAAAACGUGUUUUGUAAAUGAUUGAUCGUCAAACAUGUUUUCAUAUUUUUCAGUUCUUAAAAAUAAUUAAAACUUAGUUUUGAAAACAAUUUUGAAACAUAGUCCAAUCCUAUAUAUGUAUAUCCUAAAAUUGGGAGUAUAUGUUGUAUAAUUUAUGAGUAAUAUCAUAAAAUAAUUAUCUGAAGUGACUUUUGGAUAAAAAAGGAAAGAGAAAAAAAUGAUUUUAGUAUUUUAAUUAAAGUGAUUUUCAAAUUUUUUGAAAAUGGCAUUAAAUUUUUUUGUUAAACAUUGGAUUUGUACAAGAAGAACACUUUCAAUAAAACCAUUUUAAUCACUCUCUCAAUAUAAACAAAAAAUUGGAGAUGGGUACUUUUAAUCUAAUUGAAAAAGAAUGUUAAAAAUAUUUAUAUGCAAUUUCAAAUAAUUUUUGAACCAAAACUCUAUAGUGCCCUCAUGGACACACAGAUUCAUGAAUUAUUAUUAUUUGUCCUUUAUGUCACAUGUUUUAUGUCCAAAGAUUUAUCAAUAUUGCGUGGGACCAAAUGAAUGAUGUUCAUACAUUUGGGUCUUCUAUGUCUUUUUGAAAUACCCCAUCCAAAAAUAAUUUCAAUUUGGAAGCACAUAAUAUGAUAUAUGUGGGAGCAAAUGAUAGAGAUUUGCUUCAUUUUAUCAAAUAAUUGAAUUGAGGAUAAGAUAUACAUUAAUGUAAUCUCAUCCUAUUGAAGUGAAGGAGAUUUUAGUAUAAUAAUUUUGUGAUUAUUAAUUUAGGAAUAUUAGAUUUUUAUCAUUGACAUUGGCUUAGCAAGGAUUUUAUUACCUACGGCAAGACGUAACAAAAAAGGCAAAAAGACUUACAAAAGAUUCCAUUUAUAAACUCUUUGGUCCCUUAAAAUUAAAAGAACAAACAAUUGUCACAAUCAUACUCUUUUAUUGAUGGACUUGGGAGAUGAUAGAAAUGGAAGUUAAUAGAUAACUCUUCAUAGAUGAUUUUGAUAACAAACAAACGAUGAUUGAAAUAGGGAUGGUAUAUGCAACACCCAAACUAUAUAUCAAUCAUAUUUUCAUACGACGGAUGAAGCACAGUAUCGAACCAUCGCCGCAUUUACAUUGGCACAGGGUCUAUAAGCAUCCAUGCAAUAAGAUCUUUCAUCAACUUCCCCACAUGUGUGUACUCGUCUUGAUUCUUGUAUAAGAGAUCUAUCACACGGGCAAAAUUAACAACACAUGUGAGAAGAGGCAUGGGCACUUGUGUACGUUUGAGACACUCCUCAUUCAUAUCCUUCCAUGCAUUCAUUAUUUCAUUAUUGAACUCCUCACACGCCUCUUGCUCAGUAACACCAUAUUGCUUCAUGUAGCAUUGAACUCUUGAGACAACAUAUCCUCUUUUUUGCUCAAACUGUCCAACAAAAAAAAGGAGAAAAUCAAACAAUUUCUAUUGUAUUAAGUUUCCUAUAUAGAUUACUUAAAACUAUAUUUAGUCAUAUAUAAUUAAAAUUAAUAAGAAACUUAUAUAUUUUAAAAUUAUUUAAUUUUUAUAUAAAAGAAUUAAAUAAGUGAAAUAGGGUACCUCAUGGUCAACUAUGUCAUCCAUGAGCCUGCAAAUGAUUGCUGAAGCUCUAACCAUCUUGGGGUCACUGAAAACCCAAUCGAAGGCCUUCUUGGUUACCAUAUCUCCCAUGCCAACAAAAGAUAUGGUUGCGAGCUGAAAGUAGCCACAACUUACUAGUGCAUUGGUCAUGUACUCCUCAAUUGUUGGUAUAUAUUCUUGCUUCAACCAUUUGGCUUCAACAAAAUAGGCUUGGACUUGCUUUUUCAUCUGAGUUACAUAAUCAUGCAAAAUAUACAUUAAUUUUGGCCAUACCAAACACAAUUCAACGGAACAAUAGGUCUAUGUUUAGUAGCUAGGAAAUUUUGAGGAAAAAUAUAAGAGAGAAUGUAAAAACGGAAAAGUAAAAGAAAAGAAAUGAUGAAAAAUAUAUAUUUAUAUAUAUAUAUAUAUAUAUAUAUAUAUAUAUAUAUUUAAAGCCGUAAAUUAUUUUUAUAUGCUAUUUUAAAUUCAUUUAACUUAUUUUAAUCCUUUAAUAUAAAAAUUAAAUAAUUUGAAAAUACAUAAUUUCCUAACUAAUUUUAAUUAUAUUUUAUUUUUUUAUUUUAUUUUCUGUCAUGUGAGAAUUAUUUUUCUUAUCAUUUUUUUUUUUCUUUCCUUCCUUAUGCUUACGAGAACCAAAUAUAACCUAAGGGAUCUAGAAGAAGAAGGGACAUUGAUGCCAAACUGCUUGUUUUGCAUAGUGAACACGGUAUGGUUUUUCUUGCUUGGUCAUCUCUUCCUCUAUUUCUUCAAAGACAUCUAAGAGAGCCUGAUAACACAACUUCAUAUAAUCUGGGAGUUGAUCUAUGCUGCCGGCAUCCCAUCUGCAAGUAAAGCAACAGAUAUAUUUGGAACUUUCUACCAGAAACUAGAAAUUAAGGUAAAGAUGGUGAUGUUCAUGUAUAUAUCAAACCUCUCAAUCGCUUCGGCAAAGAGUUUGAGUUCUUCAAAUGUACCAUGUGUGUCAUAUAUAUCAUCUAUAAUGGAUGUCAUGGCGAAUACUUUCAGUAAGAUCCUUCUAGCAAGGAAAUAUUGGGGCUCAAAGUACACUCCCAAUACCCAAAAGUAUCCCUCCACUAUUCUGUCCCUUGCAAAGGGUAGCUUUGUAGCAAAAUCUAAACCUUUCCACCACCUGAUCAAAGAUAUAUCAAUAGAUGAUCAGAGUCAUGAGAGUUGCUCAACAGCUAGCUUUCUGCAAACAAUUGGAGUUAAAAAACUUACUUAGUGAUCUCACUCAGCUCUUUCCUGUGGAGUGACUGCAACAGGUUGAAAUCUAACUUUGCAAGCUUAAGUAAAGAUUUAUUAUGUGAAUCAUAUUCUUGGUAGAUGGAAAUGUAGUGCCUUGCCUCCACCCUUAUUAAGCUCUUGCGAAUCGGCCGCUCUAGAGCGUGAAUCACUUGUUUUUGAGAGGAUUAUCUGAAUCAGGUGCCAUGGACUGAAGGUGGGCAGUGGUGAAAGCCUGGGCUUCAUCCAGUAUGUCUUCUCCAUGCACCAUUAAAUGUGUAGCUUCAUAUAGAGCUAGCAUGCCUGGUAAGUCACCCACCAAUGAUUCCUUGAAGUUGCCUUCCUCGUCCUUGAACUUCUUAAAUACAUCUAUUUCAUCAUCAAGGUUUAAUAUAUAACCAUUAAAUCAAAGAUAAUUUAUUCAAGACGACAUAUAUAUAUAUUUAUUUAUGAACUUCUUUUGAUCAUGUAGUAUUGUUUUAAAAUCGUGAGAACUUCUUGGAUCAGAUCAGUUAUUCAAGAUGACAUAUACAUAUUUAUGAACUCUUUUUAAUCAUGUAGAUGUGUUUUAAAGUAAAGAGGGUUUCUUGGACCAAAGCGGAUAAUAUCUACAAGAAAAACCACUGAAAGUUCAAUAGGGAACACCUAAAAGGAUGAUGAUCUUCAACCCAAGAUUCAAAGAUCUAAUCCUUAAAUGAGAUAUUAGGAAUGGUGUGACACUUUAGGCCUUCUCUCUAAGAUCCUUUCCAAGGAAUGAAAGGUCCCUCAAUAAUCUCUUUCCAAUAUCUUGAAAUUCAUCCAAAAUUCGUUUCUAAUUUUGGUAGGACUAUCAUGAUCUCUUAAGCGGACUUAUGCCACUUGAGUGGGAUUAGUUAUUUGAGUAGCCCCUGCUUCUUUUGAAAAAUCAUUUUAUAACAUUUUAAGUCUAAAAAUGAUACUGAACAUUUUUAUACUUCAAAGGAGCCUAAUAUGUCAUAUGUCAAACCUCUUUAGACGUACCCAUGACAUCCCAAUUGGACGAAAAACAACUCUUGAUCUUCAGUGAAGAGUAAGUCACUAUAAAAAAAGACUUCUAUAAUCAAAUAUUAAAAGGAAUAAAUCUACCAACAUAUAAAUAAGACUUAAUGUCCUAAUAUACAUGUUUGUAAGGUGGUUAUAAUUAGUAUCAAAGCCCAUCCAAACUCUGGUGUGAAAGUUCAUUUAGUCUCGCAAUCCCAUGAAACAUAACGAGAAUGAUUGUGAUAUCCUAUGUCGAAUAGGAGAAAAACUUUUUGAUACCAUAUAUAUAGACCCUUCUUAAUCAUGUAGACUUGUUUUAAAAUUGUGAGAGCCCUUUGAACUAGAAUCAAUAGUAUUUACAUGGUUAAUAGUAGAUCAUUACACAUACUCGCAGCAAAUAUGGGACAAAAGCUUUUACCGGAUGGAAUGUGGUAGCCUUCUUGUCUUAGUAACCGGAUUCGAAGAGCAGCACUGGCAAGGUCAUCGUUAUCAUCAUCAACCAAAUUAUAUGUUUCAUACAUAACUUUUAAUGCUUCUUCUAUCUCCCUUUCAAAGUGGUAAGCCAAGCCCGAGCGUUGGAUGGAAUCUAUGAAGUUCAGCAGUUGUGAAGACUUCCCAGCAGUAGCUUUUAGCUCCUUUCUCACUUCUUCUUUCAGUCCUUCAAGUUCUUUUUCUUUGCAGGCAUGUGUUACCUGGACCAAAAAUUAUAUAAACAACAUAAACAUCUAAUACUACAAAAAAUAAUUUUUUUUUAGAACUUCAAGUAUUUACCGUAUCAUCAGGAAUGUAGGUGAGGAAACAGUCACCCCAGAAGUUGGGAACAAAGUUUGCAGUGUUGCGAGCCAGCUUAGGAUCAGCCUUCUGGGUGAUUGAUAGUGGGAAAGAAGACAUACUUUGGCCAGAGAAGAAGCCUAAGAAAGUGUCGUUGCUUCUUAUGCCCUUGUCGGUGGUAUGUGGAAGUGGAACUCAUGCAUUUAUAGGCCGGGCAGCUAGGCUUCUUAGUUUUGAGAAAAUCAUUUCCUUUCCGUUUUUUUUUCUUUUCUUAAUAUUUUCUGGAGCCAAAUAUAACCAAAACAAUUAUCUGAAGUGAUUUUUGGAAAAAAAAAAUAAAAAAAUGCUUUUGGUCUUUUAAUUAAAGUGAUUUUCAACAUUUUUAAAAGUGAUAUUAAAUUUUUUUGUUAAACAUUGGAUUUGUACAAGAAGAGAACUUUCAAUAAAACGAUUUUAAUUACUCUCUCAAAAAUGUAUAAACAAAAAAUUGGAGAUGGGUAUUUUUAAUCUAAUUGAAAAAGAAUGUUAAAAAUAUUUAUAUGCGAUUUCAAUAAUACCCUCAUGGACAUCAUUCAAGACAUUAUUAUUUGUCGGUAACAUGUCACAUAUUUCAUAUGCAAAGAAUAUGCGAAGAUUUAACAAUAUUGUGGGGGACCUGAUGUUCAUACAUUUGAAUUGAGGAUAAGAUAAGAUGAUCAACAUUGAUGCACUCUCAUCCUAUUGAAGUAAAGGAGAUUUUAGUAUAAUAAUUUUGUGAUUAUUUAUUUAGGAUAUUCGAUUUUUAUCACCUUUUGUGGACAUUGGCUUUCCAAGGAUUUUUUUAUUUUUUAUUUUAUUAUAAAGCCAAUAAUUAUAAAACUGUCAAAAUUGUGAAAAUAUUGUGGAUUGAAGUCGAGCAUGUUAACAAGGUAAACUUAUACUCUACAUUUGCUAAAAACCACCAAAAUUGUGAUUCGGAAUUUUUGUAGGAUGGGAUUUAACAAUAAAAAACUCUUUUUUACAAGUAAGAAGUUAGGAGAUUGUUUGGGAAUGAUAAUUUAGAACAAUUUUUUGUUUUUUAUAACAAAAAACAAAAAAAAAUAUGUUGGACAAUUAAAAAUUGUUUUUUGUUUUAUGUUAUUUAGAAUAAAAAAUAUGAUAUUUUCAAAUAACAUCUUUUUAUUGUUUUUUAUUAUUUUUACUUAUUUUCAAAUAAUAUUUUUUUAGAACUCUUAAUAUUUACCGUAUCAUGGGGGGUGUAGGUGAGGAAACAGUCACCCCAGAAGUUAGGAAGAAAGUUUGCAGUGUUGCGAGCCAGCUUCGGAUCAGCCCUCUGGGUGAUUGAUAGUGAGAAAGAAGCCAUGCUUUGCCUAAAGAAGAAACUUAAGAAAGUGUCGUUGCUGCUUAUGCCCUUGCGGGUGGUAUGUGGAAGUAGAACUCAAUGUAUUUAUAGGGAAGCCCUGGUUUCUCUAGGCUGUUUGGAUUCAUAGAAAAAAAAAUAUAUAUAUAUAUAUAUAUAUAUAUAUAUAUAUAUAGAAAUAGCUAGAUUAAAGAUGGACAAGGUGGAAGCUCAUGCUACAUGUGUUAUAAUAUCAAAAAAUAAUUGUAUAAAAGAUCACAAAUGAGCUUAAUCCUUUAAAAAAACAAACAAAAAAAAAGAAUAUUGAAGUAUAGAAAUUUCAAGAUAAUAAUAUUUUUUUUUGUUAAAUAUAUAUCACCUGUUAUUUGGGUGGAGCAAAUAGCAGCAAAUUCGAUGAUUCCAAAAAAAUCAAACACAGUCACACUCAAUUAAUUAAUUAAUUUAUUUUCUUUUACUUUAAAUUUGGAGAUGGGCAUUUUUAAUCUAAUUAAAAAAGAAUGUUAAAAAUAUUUAUAUGCCAUUUCAGAUAAUAUUUGAACCAAAACUCUAUAAUGCCCUCAUGGACAUAGAGAUUCAUGACUUAUUAUUAUCUAUCGCUAACAUGUCACAUGUCUUAUAUGCAAAGAUUUAACAGUAUUGUGGGGGACCAAAUGAAUGAUGUUCAUACAUUUAAAUGAGGAUAAGAUAAGACGAACAUUGAUGCACUCUCAUCCUAUUGAAGUAAGGGAGAUUUUAGGAUAUUCAUUUUUUAUUUCCUUUUGUGGACAUUGGCUUACCAAGGAUUUUUUUUUCUUUUAUGAUAAAUCUAAUAAUGAUAAAACUGUCAAAAUUGUGAAAAUAUUGUGGAUUGAAGUUGAGCAUGUUAACAAGGUAAACUUAUACUCUACAUUUGCUAAAAACCACCAAAAUUGUGAUUCGGAAUUUUUGUAGGAUGGGAUUUAGCAGUAAAAAAACUCUUUUUUACAAGUGAGAAGUUAUGAGUUUGUUUGGAAAUGACAGUCUAGAACAAUUUUUUGUUCUUCAUAACAAAAAAACAUUAAAAAUGGGUUGGACAAUUAAAAAUUAUUUUUUAUUUUAUGUUAUUUAGAAUAGAAAAUAAGAUGUUUUCAAAUAACAUCUUUUAGUUUUUUUUUUUUUCACUUAUUUUCAAAUAAUAUUUUUUUAGAAUUCUUAAUAUUUACCGUAUCAUCAGGGUGUGGGUGAGGAAACAGUAACCCAGAAGUUAGGAAGAAAGUUUGCAGUGUUGCAAGCCAGCUUAGGAUCAGCCCUCUGGGUGAUUGAUAGUGAGAAAGAAGCCAUACUUUGCCUAAAGAAGAACCUUAAGAAAGUGUCGUUGCUGCUUAUGCCCUUGUGGGUGGUAUGUGGAAGUAUAACUCAUAUUUAUAGGGAAGCCCUGGUUUCUCUAGGCUGUUUGGAUUCAUAGAAAAAAUAUAUAUAUAUAUAUGGAAAUAGCUAGAUUAAAGAUGGACAAGGUGGAAGCUCAUGCUACACGUGUUAUAAUAUCAAAAAAUGAUUGUAUAAAAGAUCACAAAUGAGCUUAAUCCUUUUUUUAAAAAAUAAUAAUAAUAUUGAAGUAUAGAAAUUUCAAGAUAAUAAUAUUUUUUUUGUUAAAUAUAUAUCACCUGUUAUUUGGGUGGAGCAAAAAGCAGCAAAUUCGAGGAUUCCAAAAAAAUCAAACAUAGUCACACUCAAUUAAUUAAUUUAUUUAUUUUCUUUUACUUUAAAUUUGUUGGGGUUAAGAUGAGGCAAAAUAAAAUAUGUGGACCCAAUUAAUGGAUUAUCAAUAUUUUAAAUUAAUAAAAAUUGAACUAGAAUAUACAUUUUUAGAACUGAUUUUUGUUGGGGGCCUAGUGUGAUGAUCGAUGUUGAUCUAUUGAGUUUUGCAACAAUUAAAUGUAAAGAGAAAACAUGAAAAAUUAUAUUAUCAAAUUUAUAUUAAGAGUUCCUAAGAAUUUGUUUGAUAAUUAUUAUACAACGUACUUUUGAUAUAAAAAAUGUCUUUGAAAAAAAAAAUUAUAUAUUUGGUAAAAUUUUAAAAAUAUUUUUAAAACUUUUAAAAAUAACUUUUAGAGUUGAAGAAAGUAGGCAUUGAUAGAAAAUAUUUUUAAAAGAAUUACUUAAAGUGUUUUUUUUUUUUUUGUUUUUUUUUUUUAUGUUAAAAACAUUUUUUUAAAAAUAUUUAAUUUAUCAAAUACUUAAUUAAUUUUUUUUUUUAAGUUAAAAACACUUUUUAAAAUCAUUAUCAAACUUACUUUUUAAUUUAGUUUGUGGUAUAAAAAUAAUUAGGAUCAACAUUUUAAAAGUCUUAUUUCAGAACAUUUUGGAAAAAGUUAUUAGUUCCAAAUUAUUUUUAACUUAUUUUUCAUAAAAAUAUUAAUUAGUUUACAGUAAUCUAUAAAAUACAAUUGGAAACAUAAAGUUUCUUUUGAAAAACAAACCCUAUUCAAAACAAAUAAAAAACAUAAAUAAAAGCCAAUUUUAUGUUAAUUCUUAAGCAUUUUAUAUUUGUUGUAUUGCGCUCAAAUAUAGUUAAUAUAUUAUUUUUUGAAAAAAAAAACAUAUUUUCACAUGCUCAUAUAAAAAUAAUUAUAAAAUAAUAAAAUUUUAAAAAUAAUUCAAAUUUUAAAAACAAACCCUAUGUACCGAGCUGUUUCUUUAUCAUCCUCAUCAAACUUCACAUUAGAUGUCGUAUGCUAUAUCUUCAUUUUCAUUGUGUGGUUUGUAGUAGUAUUCUUCUAUUUUUUUCUUUCGAUUUUUGAGGAAGACAUAAAUUGGAAUAUUGUUAUGAGGGAAUAAAAUCUUAUAUAAAUUGGAUUGUUUGGAGGGAAGAAAUCUUAUGCAGAUUGCUUGGCAUGGUUGGUGCCACAUCCUAAUUUCCAUACCAUGGCCUACUAUUUUAGAUUUUAGUUGGCUUGUGGGCUCUCUCCCUAAUUAGUUGGCAAAAGUUUCCCUUUUCAAAGAAGUAUUUGUCGGAUUUUUCAUCUUGGUUGUCGAAAGUACAUAUAAUAAAAUUUACAUCAGUGUAUGAUAAUAUAAAUAAUAAAGAUGUAAAAGAAUGAUAUAAAAAACAGAUGAUGGGACCAAGAUAUAAAGUAGUAGGACCGAAUUUGAUACAAAAUAAUGAGACAUGAACGUGAUUGAUCAAGUUUUUAUAUAUCAACCAAACCCUAUUAAGAUUUAGCUAGCUUGGUUUCUUUUGUGAUUUGAUGUUUCUAAGAUGGGGAGAAGAUGAGUUUUUUUUUUUUUUUUUUUUUGAACAUUUGUAUAUAAUCCAACCAAAAAAAAGGAAGCUAUUAUUAUUUCACAACAAUAUGGUAACAGUGCAUUGCAUUCUUACUGUCCUAACCCAAUUAAAUCUCAAAUGCAAUAGGAAACAUCGUAAAGCCAAAGCCACAAUUAUAUGGGCAAAGGGUCUAUGAGUAUGGAUGCAAUGAGAUCUUUUGUAAUGUUUUCAACAUGUGUGUACUUGUCUUUGUCCUUAUACAGGACAUCCAUGACGUGGAUAAGAUUAAGAAUAAGUGUGAGGAGAGACAUUAGUGUUUGUGUAGGUCUAAGCAAUGUUUUUAGAAUUGAACCGGUCAUUAAACUGAAAAAGUUACUAGUUCACGGUUCACUGGUUAGAUCAAUGGUCGAAUCGCGGUUAAAGUGUUUUUUUUUUAUUUUUUAUGUUAAAAACGUUUAUAGGGAAGUAGAACUCAAUGUAUUUAUAGGGAAGCCCUGGUUUCUCUAGGUUGUUUGGAUUCAUAGAAAAAAAUAUAUAAUAUAUAUAUAUAUAUAUAUAUAGAAAUAGCUAGAUUAAAGAUGGACAAGGUGGAAGCUCAUGCUACAUGUGUUAUAAUAUCAAAAAAUAAUUGUAUAAAAGAUCACAAAUGAGCUUAAUCCUUUAAAAAACAAACAAAAAAAAAGAAUAUUGAAGUAUAGAAAUUUCAAGAUAAUAAUAUUUUUUUUUUGUUAAAUAUAUAUCACCUGUUAUUUGGGUGGAGCAAAUAGCAGCAAAUUCGAUGAUUCCAAAAAAAAUCAAACACAGUCACACUCAAUUAAUUAAUUAAUUUAUUUUCUUUUAUUUUAAAUUUGGAGAUGGGCAUUUUUAAUCUAAUUAAAAAAGAAUGUUAAAAAUAUUUAUAUGCCAUUUCAGAUAAUAUUUGAACCAAAACUCUAUAAUGCCCUCAUGGACAUAGAGAUUCAUGACUUAUUAUUAUCUGUUGCUAACAUGUCACAUGUCUUAUAUGCAAAGAUUUAACAAUAUUGUGGGGGACCAAAUGAAUGAUGUUCAUACAUUUGAAAUGAGGAUAAGAUAAGAUGAACAUUGAUGCACUCUCAUCCUAUUGAAGUAAAGGAGAUUUUAGCUAGUAUAAUAAUUUUGUGAUUAUUGAUUUAGGAUAUUCAUUUUUUAUUACCUUUUGUGGACAUUGGCUUACCAAGGAUUAUUUUUUCUUUUAUUAUAAAUCCAAUAAUGAUAAAACUGUCAAAAUUGUGAAAAUAUUGUGGAUUGAAGUCGAGCAUGUUAACAAGGUAAACUUAUACUCUACAUUUGCUAAGGUAAACUUAUACUCUACAAGGUAAACUUAUACUAUCAUCCUCAUCAGACCUCACGUUAUAUGUCAUAUGCUAUAUCUUCAUUUUCAUCGUGUGGUUUGUAGUAGUAUUCUUCUAUUUUUUUCUUUCGAUUUUUGAGGAAGACAUAAAUUGGAAUAUUGUUUCGAGGGAAUAAAAUCUUAUAUAAAUUGGAUUGUUCUGAGGGAAGAAAUCUUAUCCAGAUUGCUUGGCAUGGUUGGUGCCACAUCCUAAUUUCCAUACCAUGGCCUACUAUUUAGAUUUUAGUUGGCUUGUUGGCUCUCUCCCUAAUUAGUUGGCAAAAGUUUCCCUUUCCGAAGAAGUAUUUAUCGUAUUUUUCAUCUUGAUUGUCGAAAAUAUAUAUAAUAAACUUUACAUCAGUGUAUGAUAAUAGAUGUAAAAGAAUGAUAUCAAAAACAGAUGAUGGGACCAAGAUAUAAAGUAGUAGGACCGAAUUUGAUACAAAAUAAUGAGACUUGAACGUGAUUGAUCAAGUUUUUAUAUAUCAACCAAACCCUAUUAAGAUUUAGCUUGGUUUCUUUUGUGAUUUGAUGUUUCUAAGAUGGGGAGAAGAUGAGUUUUUUUUUUGUUUUUUUUUAUUGAACAUUUGGUAUAUAAUCCAACCAAAAAAAAGGAAGCUCUUAUUAUUUCACAACAAUAUGGUAAUAGUGCAUUGCAUUCUUACCCUGCUAGCCCAAUUAAAUCUCAAAUGCAAUAGGAAACAUCAUAAAGCCAAAGCCACAAUUAUAUGGGCAAAGGGUCUAUGAGUAUGGAUGCAAUGAGAUCUUUCAUAAUGUUUUCAACAUGCGUGUACUUGUCUUUGUCCUUAUAAAGGAUAUCCAUGACGUGGAUAAGAUAAAAAACAUGGAUAAUUGUAUUUUGAACCUCAAAAAAUUAAGUUUUAAUCCAUAUAAGUUCAUUAUUUAAACCCAAAAUUUAGAGAAAGUGUGAAAUUGAAAAGAAUGAUAUUAAUUUUUUAUCUUUUAAAAAAUGACCUUUAUUGACUAUGAAAAAAAGAGUAAAAAAAUAUUAAUUUAAAUUUUAUUCAUUUUUUAAAUCUCACUAAAAUUUAAUUUAAUUUAGUGAUUUGGAAAAAAAUACACCCUUUUCCAAAAAAAUAAAAAAAAAUUAUUAUUAUUUAAAAAUCAAACAUCUUGAAAAAUAUAUAUUUUUAAAAUUGUAUGUAAAAAAUAACUAAAAAUAUGUCAAAAUUAAUUUUUUUAAAUGUAAUAAUUUUAGAAUAUAUAUAUAUAUAUAUUUAAAAAAAAUUAGUUUUCUACAAAUAAUAAAUUUUCGGAAUAAUUAUUAAAAAAAAAUUAAGAUAAAAAAGUUUAUCAAAUAUUAUGAUAGAAAAUAUUCAAAUUAGUUUUAAAUGGUAUAUUAGUCUCUUCAUAUUUUAUAUCAUUCCUAUCAAUUGUGCACCUUUUAUGAGCCAAAUAUUAAUUUUUGAGCUCAAUACUCAUCUUUGUCCUUGUACAAGACAUCCAUGACACGAAUAAAAUUGAGAACAAGUAUGAGGAGAGGCAUCAGUGCUUGCAUAGGUCUGAGAAACUCCUCAUUUAUAUCAUUCUAGGCAUUCAUCAUUUGGUUAUUCAACUCCUCAUACACUUUUUACUCAAAAACCCCAUAUUGCUUCAUGUUGCAUUCCACGUUAGAGGCUAUGUGCCCUCUCUUUUGCUUAAACUAUACAAAAAGUGAAAAUCAAAUUAACAUUCAACAUUAUAUUGAAUUUUUUAGAGUUUAUAAAGUGAAUGACGGUAUAACAUAAUGUUUGAUUGUAAAGCCUAAAUUAGUUUUAUUAUACUGCAUAAAGAGUGUUGAGGGUUGAGCUUCUCACUGAGAUCAAAGAAAUUUUUUUAUUUAUUGAAUGAUGAGUUUGCCUCUAGUUGUUAUAUCUAACUCUCUUAUGAUUUAGGAUUUUUUUUUUAGAGAGUGAAAAUCACGCGUAACCAUAAUUGAGAAGAGAAUGAGAGCUUUUACCAUUGCAACCCUUAUAUAUAUAUUUUUUCGUUUAAUCAAUGGAUUCUUAAAUAUUGAUGUGCUCUAUGAACAUAGAGGUCAUAUUAAUUACCAAAUCACAUUAAAAUCCCAUCCUUUUCUUUAUUUAUGCUUGUGUGUGAUCAUGUUAAUAUAUAGUUAUCAUCUAAUUAUACUUGAUGGGAAAUGAUGUCAUCCAUGAGCCUACAAAUGAUUGAUGAAGCUCUAAUCAUCUUAUGGUUGCUGAAUAUCCAAUCAAAAGCUUCCUUUGUUGCUAUAUCUCCCGUGCCAAUGAAGGAUGUGGCUAGCAUAGAGUACCCACAACUUACUAACGCGUUACUCAUAUACUCAUCCAUGCUCGGUAUGUAUUCUUGGUGGAACCAUUUUGCUUCAGCAAAGUAGGAUCGGAUUAGUUUUUCAUCUGGGUUAUAACAUUAUGUUCCUAGCUUGUACAAUAUAAAUCACGUCAUUGAAAGGUAAAAAAAAAAUAUAUAAAGAGGAAGGACAAACCGCUGCUUUUGCAUAUGGAACACUACAUAGUUUACCUUCCUUGGCCAACUCUUCCUCAAUUUCUUCAUAAACAUCUAAGACAGCUUGAUAACACAAUUUCAUAUAGUCUGGGAGUUGGUCCAUGUUGCUGAUGUUCCAUAUCUGAAAGUGAACAGAUGAAGAUGCACUUAGAUAACUUUGAAUCCGUAAUCUCCAAAAAAAAAUGUAGAAAUUAAAUUGAAGAUAACAAUAUGCAUCUGUCAACCUCUCAAUUGCUUCUGUAAAGAGUUCGAGCUCGUCAAAUGUGCCAUACACAUUUUAUACAUCAUCCACAAUGGAUGUCGUGGCCAUUACUUUGGUUAGGACCCUUCUAGCAAGUAAGUACUGGGGCUCAAACCAUACCCCCAAUACCCAAAAGUAGCACUCCACCAGUCUGUCCCGAGCAAAAGAUAGUUUUGUUGCAAAGUCUAAAUCUUUCCACCACCUGAAAUGGGUAAACUCCGGCAGAUUAUUAGUAUAUUCUAUCUACCUUGUGAGCUUGACACAUGUAAUGUUGGAUUGUGAAGCCCGGAUCAGUAUUAUUCCACUACUCAAAAGGACAUGGAGGGUUAACUUCCUCCUGAUCAUUUAACCCCUUAUGUGUAACUGCAAUUGAGAGGAGAAAGAGGUCAGUCCUAUCAUGUCUUUCUAAGGAGGAAAGAGGGAAACAAAGUAAAAAAAAAUCAUGUGAUACUGAAUGUAUCCAUAAGACAGCCCUAGAUGAUUGUGUGGUGGGGUGUGGAAUAUCAAAGAUAUUCGCUUCAAUUAUGUGAAUGAAAAUUAUGGCUUGUGUUACUCAUGUGCCUAUUAUAGUACAUGUGGGUCACAUCCCUUUCUGGAUUGUUUGAGGAAAACGGAUAUCUUGUUCUGGAAAUGUACCUGAGCUUGUUUCUCAUCCAUCCAGUGGUCAUUUUGGACUGCAAAUGAAAGCUUUGGCUGUUAAUCUUGUACUACUCCAUAUACCCUCCUUGCUUUUUACUUUUAAUUUGGGUGUGUUAUUUGAAUCAAAAUCUUGUGUUACCCGCGCAUUUUCAGGAUAGCUCUGGAUCUUUUUGGACGUUGCUUAUUGGCUGGAUAUGACCAAUGUUUUCAAAACCGGACCGGUGAUCGAACCGGAAAAGUUACCGGUUCACGGUUCACCGGUCGGACCGGCGGUCGAACCGCUAUCGAACCGGUGACGUCAUAAAUAUAUAAUUUAUAUAUUAUUAAAAUUAAAAAUAAUUAUAAAAAUUUUAAAAUAUAUAUGAAUAAAUUAAACAUCAAUAAUAUUAUUUUAUAUCUUUGAUAUUAUCAAAUUAAAUCAUAUUAAUAUUUUAAAUUUUAUUAAAUGAAAUAUGUAUAAUAUUUAAAUGUGAAUAUAUAAAAAAAUGAAAAUUUAAACUAAUUUCAUAAUUUUUAAAAAUAUUAUAUUAUUUUUAUUUAAUAUUUUAAAAAAAUUUAAAAUCUAAUAUAUAUUGUUUUGUUUGGCAUAUGAGAUAAUAAAACACAUGUAGCCGAGUGGUGUCUUAGGUGGACUAUAGUUAAGGAUUGGUCCAAGGUUCAAAUCCUCUUGUGGAGUUUUGUUAUGUUUUUUUUCAUUGAUAUUUAGCAAUCCUACAUCGGAAAUGAGAGAAAUAAGGGGUCAAAUGACUCCUAUAAAAGCCAUCCUCAGCAAAGGCUUGGCAUGGUCUUGUGGGCUCAAAAAAAAGCCCACAAUAAUUGGAGUGGGCAUGUGGGCUGUGUCAUAAGACAGGCCCAACAUGGAAUCCUUCCUUUCAUGCAAUGAGAGGGUAAUAGUUUUAUUUUGUAAUUUUUUUUUUUCAAAAAAUUAAAAUUAUUUGAAUCGGCCGGUUCCCUUGGAACCGGCCGGUUCACCGAUUGAACUGCCGGUUUGAGCGAUUCAACCCCGGUUCGAUCUCAAUCCGGUCCAAAUGACCGGAUCGAACCGGAAUGAUGACUGGUCGAUGGUUGGACCGGCCGGUCCGGUUUUUAAAACAUUGGAUAUGACAAUAGCUCAGAACCACAAAAAAAAAGUAAAUUUUUUUUUUCUUCCUGUUGUCAUCGAUGAUAAACCACGAUUAUUGAUCCAUUAUCGGUCUUUGGCUUCAACAAAGUAGGCUUCGUCUCCCUUUUCCUCCAUUUCUGCAGAACACCAUUUCAUAUAAUGGUCUAGGAGUUGAUCUUAAUUAGCACCGAUAGUGGAUGUCAUGACAAGUCAUUAUUAUUAUUAUUAUUAUUAUUAAUCUUGGAUUCAAUAAGGUCAAAAUAAAAGAAUUGGGAUUAAGGAAUUUUGAUUAAUGGAAAUUCAAAAAUAAUAGCCAGAUAAUACUAUUUCACAUUGAAGCUUGGGAAGCAAUAAAAAUGGAAAAUUGGUAAUCGACUCUCUCAUAUAAGUUGAUAUAAUUAACAAAGUAUAUAUGUGAAAGGGUUUGCAUAUGUAUGAUAUAUCCAAAAUUGAUCCAAUUAAUAGUAAAUUAAGUCCAAGCAUUCCAAAAUACUCUAUCAGUAAUUAAAUGUGUUUAUGUAAUGAAGAUUUUGACUCAUUUACAUGUUAAAAAACAGUUAAACUUUAUUUAUUUUUAAAUCCAUUUUAAAUCAAAUAUAUUAACAAUUAUUAUAUUCAUUUUUAACCAAAACAAAUUAUACCUUUUCAUGUUAAUAUCCAUAUUUUUAUAACAUAUACUAAAAUAAUAUAUUUUUAUAAAAAGAAAUAUAAUUUAUGAUUUUAUUAUAAUAUUACUAUUCAUAUUUUUAUUAAAAACCAUUUAUUUACAAUUACAAAACCAUUUUGAUUUUCAAUAAGAUUGAAAUUAAAUUUAAUUAACAUUAUAUAAAUUAAAUUUACAAUAUUUUUUCAAAAUCAAAAUAAAAAAUUAUUUUUAAAAAAAUUUAUUAAAACAUGUUUUUUUUUUUUUGAAAAAUAUAUUUUAAAACAACUUAUCAAAUAUCUUUAUUUUUAUAAAAUACUAAAACAUUGGUUUUCCUUUUUAACUUAAACUUAAUUUCUGAAAACUAGAAAAUAUGGUCAAAUGGGAUCUUAUUUUAUUUUUUUUUAUUUAAAGUGAUUUUUAAAGAUUUUAAAACUUCGUUAAACAUUUCAUUUAUACAAGAAAAGCACUUUCAAUCAUUUAAAAAACGCUUUUAAUCACUCUUGCAAAUAUGCUAGAAACCAAAAAUUAGAGAUUGAUACAAUUAGUCUAGUUGAAAAAUAAUAUUAACGUAAAGAUAUUUUGUAAUGAUAAUUUUUAUUUAAUUUAAAAUUUUACACUUUUCAUCAAUUUGCAAUCACAUAGGCCUACCAAGGAUUUGAUUUUAUCUUCUAAAUUCAAUGAUUAUAGUAAUAAAACAUUCAAAAAUUGUCACACAUUAUAAGUCAAAUUAAUUUAUGCACAUUAAAUAUUAAUAUACAGAAUGUCUCAUCUUUUCUAUCAAAUUAUGUCUUUGACUAACAACUUUUUGUAAUUUUUGUUUAAUUAGUUUGAAAUCAUAGUUUGAAAAUACAUAUCUCAAAAUGUGGUUUCUAAAUUUGUACUGAAUGCUAGGUUUUGAAAUACAAAAGCUCCAACAGCAUAUUUUGUGGGCUAAAGGUGAGUUUGAGGCAAAAGUCUAUAUGCCCUCACACAUUGAUUGAUGAAUUAUUGCUAUUUGUGGUUGAUUUGUCACUUCUUUCAUGUCAAAACACUUAGCAAACAUGUGGGACAAACUGAACGACUUUCAUACGAUCGGGCUUCUAAUGUCCUGUUGAUAUCAUCCCAUUCAAAAAUAAUUUCAACUUAGAAACAUAAAAAGUGUUACAAGUGAGUAGACAUUUGCCCCACAUCAUAAAUAAUUGAAUCAAAGAUAAGAUUUUCAUUGCCUUUUAUGGACCAACCAAAGAUUUUGAGUCAUAGCAAGUAUUUAUAAUAAUUGAAGGUACUAUCUAUAUUAUUAAAGGAUAGUACUUAUGCGAUCACACCUUCAAUUGAUUAGAAAUGCACAAAAUUUUAAUUAUUUUUAAAUAAUUAAAAUUGAGUUUUUUUAAAUAUGCUAAUAAAAACACACUUUUCCCAUUUUACUUUUUAUCAUAAAUCCUAUGAUUAUAAAACCAUCAAAAUUGUGAAAAUAUGUAGAUUAAAGUCAAGCAUGUGAACAAAGGUAAAAUGAUACUCUUCAAUGCUCAUAAAACUACCAUAAUUGUGGUUCCAAAUUUUUGUUGGAUGGAAUAUAGUAGUUAAAAAAUUUCUUACACACGAUAAAUUAUGGCUAGGUUUGAGAACAAUUCUAAAAAAUAAUUUUUAAAAUUAUUAUAUGAUAUUUUAUAAAAUAAAAAUCUAUUUAGGAGUAUGAAAUGUUCUUAAUAUAUUUUUUAUUUUUUAAAUAUAUUUUAAAAAUAAAUUUUAUCUCCAAUACUUUAUUUUUUAUAUUUGUAUAAUUCUUAUAUACAACAAUUAUCAAAAAAUAAGUAAAAACAAUCUAAAAGAUAUUUUUUUUAAAUAUCCUAUUUUAAAUUUUUUAUUUUUUGUUUUUUAUUUUUAUUUUUAUUUUUAAAUAACAUAUAACUAUUUUUAAAAAUAGUUGUCAAGUGACUAGACAACCCGUCAUUAUCCAAAUCGGAGACAAAUUGACGUGGCAUCCACACAAGAUAACUCCAUAAUUUAGAAAGAUUUCCUUUCUCAUGUGCUCUUGCUUCAUCUCGGGAAUUAUAAGAUUUGCAACUUUUAGACAGGAAUAUAAUCUUUCUUCUGGGGUCUCCAUGAAUGACUCAUGUCUCCAUAACAAAAAGGGACUUUUGAUAAAAGUAUGGUAAGUUUAAAAAAUUAUUCUUAAAUUAUGGUAGUAGGAAAAGUAAUUCUAAAUCUAAGUAGGAGAGGUAUUAGAAAUCGUCUUUUCAAAAGACGAUUUCUAUCAAAACAAGUAAAAAAAAAAAAUUAAUCCCUCAAAAAUUGUCUUUUGAAAAGAUGAGAUGAUUUUCCCUUAAUAAAUAAAUAAAUAAUCCAAAAAAUAAAAUAAAAUUUCCUAAAUGGAAAUCGUCUCUUUCAAGACACGAUUUCCCUUAAAAAAAAUCCAAAAAAAAAAAAUACAUCCAAAUUUAAUAUCUUUAAUUAUCUCUAUUUUAUAAAACAAAUAAUACAAUUUAAUAUAUAAAUAUUUUAUAAAUCCAUUUUAAAAUUAAAAAAUUAAUUAUAUUUAUACAAUUAUUAUAAAUAUAUAUUAAAAAAUUAAUUAAUUUGAUUUACUAAAUUUAAUAUAAUAUAAAUAAUAUUUAUCUAUUGUUUUUUUUUCUUUCACUUUGCAAUUAAAAAAAAAACUGUUAUCAAUUUAUAUGAAAAAAUGAGUUUAAAAAAUUAAAUUUAUUAUGAAUUUAUUAAAUAAUUAUUUACACAAUAAAUCAUUUUGUUUUGUUUUUAUUUUUAAAUUAAUUAUAUUAUAUAAUUUUAAGAUUAAAAAUAUUAAUCUUUUAAGUUAAAAUUUCAUGUGUUUUCAUAACUCUUAUAACCUAUUAUACUUCAUCACACCAAUUUGAAGAAGACCGUUUGCUACCCUCAUACCAAUUUGAAGAAGACCGUUUACUAUCCUCUCACCAAUUUGAAGAAGAACACUUCAUCACACUAAUUUGAAGAAGACCGUUUGCUACCCUCUCAUAACUAGCCCAUUGGUAUAGAAGACCGUUUUUUUUUUUUAAACUUUUUUGGCAAAUUGUCUCUUUAAGAGAUGAUUUCCACUUAAAUAAUUUUUUUUGAAAUCAUCUUUUCAAAAGACGAUUUUUGAGGGAUUAAUUUUUUUUUUUUUUACUUGUUUUGAUGGAAAUUGUCUUUUGAAAAGACGAUUUCCAAUUCCUGCAAAAUCCGCUCUCCUACCUGACAAAAACUACUAUAUAUUUGGAAUUAUUUUUCCUAUUACGAUAAUUUAAGAAUAAUUUUUUUAAUUUACUGUACUCUUGUCAAAAGUCCUAACAAAAAGGGCAAAAAACUUUUAGAAAGAUUCCAUUUAUAGAUGUUACCAAAAAUUACUUUGCUACCAUAAUUUUAGACAUGAAUAUAAUCUUCUUCUGGGAAUAUACCUGAGCUUGAGUUUCUCAUCCAUCCAGUGGUCAUUUGCUUGGUCUGCCCUUUCCUAUAUUUUUGCAUAACACCAUGAAUAAUUUUGAAUACUACGCUUAAGGAAAUUUGAUUUGUGGAAAGAAAAAAUAAUUGCCAGAAAACUGUUUCGUAUUGCGGCUUGGGAGACAACUCCAUGUAAGUCGAUAUAACGAACAAAGUAUGUGAAGGGUUUAUAUAUAUAUAUAUAUAUAUAUACAUACAUACAUACAUAUAUAUAUAUAUCCAAAAUACCAUGCCUCGAUGCUAGAUUACAUUUAACAUUUGACAACACUAGAGAUUAUGAUGACAAACUGUUGUGGAAGGUGAUAUAUCAUACAUGUUAUACAAACAUUAUUAAUCCUUUUCACAUGGUACAUACAUAUAUAUAGAACCAUCUCCUGGCCAUUUACAUUGGCACAGGAUCUAUGAGCAUCCCUGCAACCAGAUCUUUCAUCAAUGGUCCAACCAGCGUGUACUCAUCUUCGUCCUUGUACAAGACGUCCAUCAUCCGGCUAAAAUUCAGAACACGGGUGAGGAGUGGAACUGGCACUGCUGUAGGUUGCAGGAACUCCUCAUUAUUAUCCUUCCAUGCACUCUCUACUUGCUUCUUGAACUCAUCAUAAGCUUCUUCCUUUGAAACCCCAUAUUGCUUCAUGUAGCAUUCUACGGCUGAGGCAACAUGCCCUCUUUUUUGCUCAAACUGCACAAGAAAGAAAAUCAAAAGAAUUUCAGUAUACACAAAACAGUAGCAGCAUCCAUUAUGCAAUAUGGAUAUGUACCUCAUGGGAAACUAUGUCAUCCAUAAGCCUGCAAAUGACGUUUGAAGCUCUAAUCAUCUUAGGGUCACUGAAAACCCAAUCGAAGGCCUCCUUGGUUACUAUAUCUCCCAUACCGACGAAAGAUGUGGUUGUAAGCAUAGAGCAGGCAGAGCUUACCAGCGCGUUGCUCAUGUACUCAUCCAUUCUUGGUAUAUAUUCUUGCUUCAACCAUUUGGCUUCAAGAAGGUAGGCUUGGACUUGCCUUUUUAACUGAGUUACAUAAUCAUGCAGAAUAUAUAUUAAUUUUGACCAUACCAAACACAACUCAUGGAACAUUGAAGGAUCAAGAAGAAGAGAUAAUAUUGGUGCCAAACCGCUGCUUGUGCGUAGUGAACACGGUACAGUUUUCCUUGCUUCGUCAUCUCUUCCUCCAUUUCUUCAUAGACAUCUAAGAGAGCCUGAUAACACACCUUCAUAUAAUCUGGCAGUUGAUCUAUGCUGCUGGCAUCCCAUCUGAAAGUGAAGCAACAGAUCAUAUCCUUGGAACCUUUUGAAAUUACACCAGAAAUUUAGAAAUUAAGUUAACAAUGUUGAUGUGCAUGCAUCAAGUAAUUACC
rnacentral:lncRNA from 1 species